CCUACGGGAGGCAGCAGUGGGGGAUAUUGCACAAUGGGGGGAACCCUGAUGCAGCGACGCCGCGUGGGUGAAGAAGCGCCUCGGCGCGUAAAGCCCUGUCAGCAGGGAAGAAAAUGACGGUACCUGAAGAAGAAGCCCCGGCUAACUACGUGCCAGCAGCCGCGGUAAUACGUAGGGGGCAAGCGUUAUCCGGAUUUACUGGGUGUAAAGGGGGCGCAGACGGCGAUGCAAGCCAGGAGUGAAAGCCCGGGGCCCAACCCCGGGACUGCUCUUGGAACUGCGUGGCUGGAGUGCAGGAGGGGCAGGCGGAAUUCCUGGUGUAGCGGUGAAAGGCGUAGAUAUCAGGAGGAACACCGGUGGCGAAGGCGGACUGCUGGACUGCAACUGACGUUGAGGCCCGAAAGCGUGGGGAGCAAACAGGAUUAGAUACCCGAGUAGUC
rnacentral:rRNA from 1 species